rnacentral:rRNA from 1 species
UGGGGAAUAUUGGACAAUGGGGGCAACCCUGAUCCAGCGAUGCCGCGUGGGUGAAGAAGGCCUUCGGGUUGUAAAGCCCUUUAGGUUGGGAAGAAGUGUGCGUGGUGAUAAGCCAUGUACAUUGACGGUACCGACAGAAUAAGCACCGGCAAACUCUGUG